GGAUCUGCACCUACAUCACGCUCAUGAAACAUGUGUGUGUGAGUGUGUGUGCGCGCGGGCGUGAGGCUGCAUGUGUACCCUUUCUACGCGUGUUGGACUUACUAGCUUACUUGUGAUUUUUGGGUUGUUUUUUUUUUUUUUUUUUUUUUUUGGAGUAACCAAACUGAAUUUCUGAACAGGCAUUACACACUGCCGCCCCAUGUGAGCAUCAGCGUAUCCAGAUUCCAGUUGACAUUUUUUACUCAUUAAGAAAACGUACACAAAGGAAAUGUAGGUGACCAAGAGGUGUGCUCACUUCCAAAUCAAACAGCAUCUACGUCAAACUGCUUUUCUUCAGUCUCUUGAUGCUGGUCUCUGAGGGCUCCAUGUGCUAAUGGAGCUUUGGUUGUGUGUGAGUUUCAGAUGAUGGUGAAGAUAUGGUGAAACUUGAGGAUGAUUAUUUAUUUCUGGAAGGAGUUUUCCAACACUUGAAAGUCUUCAGGACCGAGGACUUGAAAAAGAUGAAACAGGAGAGGCUGAUGAGGGAACUACUGUUUAUAGCAGCUGUAAUGCCAGUGAACAGGAAAUAACUUGUUUCAUAGAUCAUCCACAACAUUAAAUGUAACUGUAAACAGAUAAAAGUAUUAUUCUAUUCUUUUUCCAUGUUGAAUUAUUUAUGUUAAAAACAAGUGUAACCGAUCUCAGCUUCACGGAAAUCUUUUUAAAAAAAUUUUAUUUCAGCACGGCUGCUAGCAAACCUAAAUGAUCUGUUACUAAUUAUGGUAUUAUGCAAACAUUGUCGAGUAUCAUGAGCUAAUGUUGUUACACUCCCACAUUUAAACGAUGUGUGGAUGCCUGAUGGCUUGCUAUAACUGCCUAAUCUACAAUAUUAUAUAUUAUCUUAGAAUAUACAUAUUCUGUAUAUGCAGAUUGGUUAAGAUUCAGUGUCUAGUUUCAGACAAGGCUAAAUAUUAAUUCUUAAGUUAUAAUUACAACUUUGCCACAUCUCUUAUGCAUACACACACACAAACAAAUAGAUACACCAAAGCCUUCUACUUGUUUCAGAUGCCUCUGGUUUUGUCUGAUUUAUGGACAAGAGGAAGCUCUUCUUAGAUCGAUACUUUUGUACCGACAAGCAUGACCAUACAACCUCCACCUCCAGAUAUUCUAUACUAUACUAUAUUCUAUACUAUAUUCUAUACUAUAUUCUAUAAGCUAUUUAAAAAGGUAAAUUUAUUUACUGUAAUCUUACAGUCACAGUGUGUCAAGAGCAGUUCUUUUGUGGUCACCAUUUCUUCUGAAGCAUUGAACUGAAUUAUAUAACUAGUAAUGAUUAUAAUUACACAGUAGCCAUCAGGGGUUUAUAUGGCUUCCAGCUGUACACAGCAAUUGCUUUAUGUGAUCAAUGCAGAGUGACUCCAUGGGGACAGCACUGACUUUUCGUGUACUAAUAUUCAUCAUUUACAAUUGAAGAGAUUUAAGUGCCUCUGUUCUUCUAAAGCACACUCUUGUAGCAUACUGUGACUGGAUGUCAUUAAUGAUUAAACAAGUGCUGUUUCUGACCGAAGAGGCUUUUGUUUGCCAUGUAUUAAUAUGGUAUGCAUUUAAUGGGAGAUUUGAAAGGUUUUGGGCAUAUAUUCAUAAAGUUAUCAAAUAGUCAUCAAAGACAAACAGUCAUCAACUGAUCCUACAUCAGUAGAAUUAUUUAAUGAGUCCUCAGUACUGGUCAAAGAGCAUAUCCUACUAAUGUUAUAUGAAGAAUUUGAUAAAAAGGUCAAAUGUGCAGCACAGUAUCACUGUGUGACUCAGGCUUGAGAACCAUGAACGAGCCAGUAUUUACAAGCUGUAAAAAUCUGCGAACUGACUCACUAAAGCUAUUACAGGAAUUUCACAUGCCAUACUUUUAUAUUAUUGAAGCAAAUGCAUUUGUCAAUUGAAAGCUGACUCAAGUGCCAGAUGCCUCAGUUGAGAUUUGUCUCUUAGAUACUCAGACUCGAUUAGAGGCUUGAAAAUAAUGAACAGUUGGAGCACUCAUGUUCCCUUAUGUGUCUGUUACUGAUGAGUUACAAGAACCCUCAAUAAUGGCGGUGGGCUUCAGUCAUGACACAGCAUAGUGAAUUGUAAAAACCAGAAAUAUGUAGAAGUUCAUGUGGAGAAUACAUUUCUUGAACACAGAGAAUUUUUUUUUUAAUCCCUCUUAUUUGCUGGUUUUUGAAUGACCAGUUACUGAUCUAACUAAUUCCAAGCUGAGCAGCCUACAUACACUGUAGAUACUGGAAUGUACAGUUGAUUGAUUCAUUUUUCCAGAAGGGAUAAUAGCAGAGAAAGUGCUUGUUCCAUUUAUUUACAGUGUAAAAUGAUCACUUCACUUGCAGAACUUAAAGUGUUAGGACAUUUUCUUAAUGCUCUUUUCAUCUGGCAAGAGGCUAUUUGCGCUGCUGUUGGUUAUUACAGUGAAUAAUAAUUUGAUUGCUUUUUCCCCAAAAAUGGUCACUCCAUGUCGGUAUUUGAAUCUUUGUUGGGUAUUCAACAAAGUAUCACUGAGACGUACGUUGCAAUUAACCAAGUAAUUAUCAUUUUUGUAAUCUAUGUCCUGUAGAAGACCUCAAGCUCUUUAAUCUAUAAUAUGAUAAUACACCGUAUUUGUGCACAGUGCCUGUGGCCAAUAUCUCUUAAUUGUACUGUAGUGAUACUACUAUACUCUACAUUUCUGAUUUUAUACAUGUGUGUGUGCUGAGGUAUUUAAAGAAAAUCACAAGUAGCCACCUAGUGUAUCUUGCAAUUAGACCAGUAUUUUAUAUUUGUGUGUGCUGUGGUGUGUAGAGCAGAUCGGGCUCUCGAAUGUAAUCAGGGUGUUCAAAAAGAAACUUAUCAGCUUGUUAAGGAGCACCUUUACUUGUAAUCAGGAAGCCAUUGUUUUCCCAUGGAGAGAGCAGUUGUGCUUUACCUGGAGGCAUCAUGACCUUGAGCAUCAAUUUUUCAAUCAAACUCAGCUUUCUGAUGUUUGCUGCUGAUCUUCAAACAGAAUCAGUGAGACAGAUUGCUGUAUGAGACAUGGCAAGAGACAACUUAUUUUUAUAGGCACUGAGUAUUCUCACUGCUUGGUAGUAACCCAAGUUACUGAACACGUAUGUGGGGGGAAAAAAUUAGGAAUGUGAAAAAAUGUAGGAUAAUCUCAGUUAUGCCUCUAAGAUGUUUUUUUUUUUGUUGUUGCCAUAUUGAUCUUUUUUCUGUAAUAUUUCUGUUAUGGAUCCACACACUAUGGAUUUCUGAACUCCAUAGUGGUCGUAGAGGUUGUAGAACCUAGGGAAAAAAUGUAAACUUAGAAAUAAGAAAAUUAAAAAUGUAGAUUUAAUAUUCACUGGAAACUUGACAAACCCCUUAUUGUUACCAAAUAUUUUUUCUUGUCCAAAUCUGUUAAUCUGGCAGACUCUUGUAUUAGGUGUAGAAAAUCUUAUUUCUACUUAAGUUAUAAAGGGCAAAGAUUCAUUCCUGAAACUUGCAAAUACUUUACUGUACACUCACCAUUCACUGUAUUAGGAACACUUGCACACUUCAUGCAAUUAUCCAAUCACCCAGUUAUGUAGCAGCAGCGCAGUGCAUAAAAUCAUGCAGAUACAGGUCAGGAGCAUCAAUUAAUGGUCACAUCAAACAUGAAAAUGGGGGAAAAUGUGACCACGGUGACUUUGACCGUGGCAUGUUUGCUGUUGGUGCCAGAUGAGUUGGUUUGAGUAUUUCAGAAACUGCUGAUCAAGUGCCUGAUUUUAGCCAAGAACAGUAAUCUGAGGCUACAGUAGGCACUGAUGUACGAAAACUGGACCGUUGAAGAUCUUUUAAAAGGUCUUUUAUACAAACCUCUCCCCACUAUAGCCUCAGAUUCCAGUCAUUAGAUUUAUAUAACGCUUUUCUAGACACUCAAAGUGCUCUACAUUGUAUGGGUGGAUAUCUCCUCAACCACUACUAGUGUGUAGCAUCCACCUGGAUGAUGCAAUGGCAGCCUUAGUGUGCCAGAACGCCCACCACACACCAGAUAUUAGUGGAGAGGAGAGUGAUGUAGCCAAUUCAGAGAUGGAGAUUAUUAGGGGGCCAUGCUAGAGAAGGUCCAAUGGGGGAAUUUCACCAGGACACCGGGGUUAUACCACUACUAUUUAAAAAAUAAUAAUAAUAUAUUUUUUUUUGAUUGAUUUAUACUGACUACACAGAGUCUGAAGCUAUUGACCUGUUUCUGCAUGAUUCUAUGUAUUGAGCUGCUGCCACAUGAUUGGCUGAUUGGAGAAUUGCAGGUGUUCUUAUUAAAGUGGUCAGUGAGUGUAUGAAUUAUGUUUAAUACCUGUCUUUUGAUCUCAGUGUUUUAAUGUUCUCCAUAUCACAGCUGUGUUUAGCAUUCUACCUCAUUUAACACUCCAUAUUCAGCUCAUCACCUUAUUACCAAUGUAUUCAUGAAUGUAAAUGGUAAAUUGCGCACUUAUAUAGCGCUUUUAUCCAAAGCUCUUUACACCGUGUCUCAUUCACCCAUUCAUACACAGAUACACAGGUAGCAGAGCUAACUUGCCAUUGGGAGCAGUUGCCAUUGGGGUUCAGUGUCUUGCCCAAGGACAUUUUGGCAUGUGGAGUCAUGUGGGAUUGAACCGCCAACCCUACGAUUAGUGGACAACCCGCUCUACCACCUGAGCCACAGCCGCCCCUUGUCUGAAUGUGUCAAGGCAUGUCCGACAAGCCGAAUGUGCUUGUCAGAAGAUGGAACACACAAAUCUGUGUUGUAACCCUCCAGGACACAAU
ensembl:lncRNA